rnacentral:rRNA from 1 species
AGCGAACGCUGGCGGCAGGCCUAACACAUGCAAGUCGAACGAUCCUUCGGGAUAGUGGCGGACGGGUGAGUAACACGUGGGAACGUGCCCUUUGGUUCGGAACAACUCAGGGAAACUUGAGCUAAUACCGAAUGUGCCCUUCGGGGGAAAGAUUUAUCGCCAUUGGAGCGGCCCGCGUCUGAUUAGCUAGUUGGUGAGGUAACGGCUCACCAAGGCGACGAUCCAUAGCUGGUCUGAGAGGAUGAUCAGCCACAUCGGGACUGAGACACGGCCCAGACUCCUACGGGGGGCAGCAGUGGGGAAUCUUGCGCAAUGGGCGAAAGCCUGACGCAGCCAUGCCGCGUGAAUGAUGAAGGUCUUAGGAUUGUAAAAUUCUUUCACCGGGGACGAUAGUGACGGUAGCCAAGGAGGAAGCCCCGGCUAACUACGUGCCAGCCGCCGCGGUAAUAC